rnacentral:rRNA from 1 species
AUUGAACGCUGGCGGCAGGCCUAACACAUGCAAGUCGAGCGAGCGGCGGACGGGUGAGUAAUGUAUGGGGACUGCCCGAUAGAGGGGGAUAACUACUGGAAACGGUGGCUAAUACCGCAUACUAUCGGAUAACCCAUAUGGGAUUAGCUAGUAGGUGGGGUAAAGGCUCACCUAGGCGACGAUCUCUAGCUGGUCUGAGAGGAUGAUCAUCCACACUGCGAAUGAGACACGGCCCAGACUCCUACGGAGCGAGAAGGGCGGAAUAUUGCAUAAUGGCCGCGAGCCUGAUGCAGCCAUGGCACGUGUAUGAAGAAGGCCGUAGGGUUGUAAAGCACUUUCAGCGGGGAGGCGUUACCCGCAGAAGAAGCACCGGCUAACUCCGUGCCAGCAGCCGCGGUAAUAC